rnacentral:tRNA from 1 species
GCCUAGGUGGCUUAGUCGGUUAAGCAUCUGACUCUUGGUUUCAGCUCAGGUCAUGAUCUCACAGCUUGUGGGUUCAAGCCCCACAUUGGGUU